AUUACUUCUUGGUUUCUAGUUAAGGGAUUGCAGCGAGUGAAGGAAGGGAGAAAGGAAGACUCAAACAAAUAAAAAUUUCAAUGAUGAAUUGUAACAAAAAUUGUUCCCUUUCUCUUUCUGCCCUAGGGGACAUGUAGGAGAAACAUAAAGGAGAGCUUUCUAAUUCUCCGACAUGUGAUUCCUGGCUUGGUAAUCGGUUCAUCAUUCGCAAGGGUAACGAGAAGUCUGGACUGUUCAUUCCUAAGAGAAUGUAUUGAGCAUAAGAAAAGAGAAGAAUAGAAAGACAUGCUGCUCAAAUGGCUGCAGCUACUUACAUGACAUAGUGAAAAUAUAGAUUGUCUGUGCAGGUUUAGAUGGUAGUGUUAAGUGUAGCAAC